GACGAACGCUGGCGGCGUGCUUAACACAUGCAAGUCGAACGGAUAGGCCCCGGUUUUGUGGGGUGCUCGAGUGGCGAACGGGUGAGUAACACGUGAGUAACCUGCCCUUGACUUUGGGAUAACUUCAGGAAACUGGGGCUAAUACCGGAUACGAGCACGUUCCGCAUGGUGGGGGUGGGGAAAUUUCGGCGGUUGGGGAUGGGCUCGCGGCUUAUCAGCUUGUUGGUGGGGUAGUGGCUUACCAAGGCUUCGACGGGUAGCCGGCCUGAGAGGGUGACCGGCCACACUGGGACUGAGACACGGCCCAGACUCCUACGGGAGGCAGCAGUGGGGAAUAUUGCACAAUGGGCGAAAGCCUGAUGCAGCGACGCCGCGUGCGGGAUGACGGCCUUCGGGUUGUAAACCGCUUUCGCCUGUGACGAAGCGCAAGUGACGGUACUUGCUAAAGAAGCACCGGCUAACUACGUG
rnacentral:rRNA from 1 species